rnacentral:pre_miRNA from 1 species
AAUAAACAAAUCUUUUACUUUUUACCUACAAUGUUUGACCUUUUGUCUUAUUCAAAAUUUUACGAUUAACAUUUUUGUUUUUAUUAGAUGAUAAAUCAUAAAUAGUAAUUUACGUGUGACUAUUUUUUAAAAAAGUUUGGAAAAUUUUUAAAUAAGACGGAUGGUCAAAAGUUUGCCUUAUUUGGGAACGGAGGGAGUAGAA